rnacentral:rRNA from 1 species
GUGCCAGCAGCCGCGGUAAUACGUAGGGGGCAAGCGUUGUCCGGAGUUACUGGGCGUAAAGCGCACGCAGGCGGUCUGUUAAGUUUGGAGUGACAGUUGGUGGCUUAACUGCCAAAGUGCUUUGAAAACUGACAGACUUGAGGGCUUCAGAGGGACACGGAAUUCCGGGUGGAGUGGUGAAAUGCGUAGAGAUCCGGAGGAACACCGAAGGCGAAGGCAGUGUCCUGGGGAGUACCUGACGCUCAGGUGCGAAAGCCAGGGGAGCGAACGGGAUUAGAAACCCUCGUAGUCC